rnacentral:rRNA from 1 species
UACGUAGGGUGCGAGCGUUAAUCGGAAUUACUGGGCGUAAAGCGUGCGCAGGCGGUUCUAUAAGACAGAUGUGAAAUCCCCGGGCUUAACCUGGGAAUUGCAUUUGUGACUGUAGAGCUAGAGUACGGCAGAGGGGGAUGGAAUUCCGCGUGUAGCAGUGAAAUGCGUAGAUAUGCGGAGGAACACCGAUGGCGAAGGCAAUCCCUGGGCCUGUACUGACGCUCAUGCACGAAAGCGUGGGGAGCAAACAGG